rnacentral:rRNA from 1 species
GAUGAACGCUAGCGGCAGGCUUAACACAUGCAAGUCGAGGGGCAGCGCGGGAUAGCAAUAUCCUGGCGGCGACCGGCGGAAGGGUGCGUAACGCGUGAGCGACAUGCCCGUUGCCCGGGGACAAUCGGUGGAAACGCCGACUAAUCCCCGAUGGGAUAUUGUGCCGCAUGGCACGAUAUUGAAAGUUACGGCGGCGACGGAUUGGCUCGCGUCCGAUUAGCUUGUUGGCGGGGUAACGGCCCACCAAGGCUGCGAUCGGUAGGGGUUCUGAGAGGAAGGCCCCCCACAAUGGGACUGAGACACGGCCCAUACUCCUACGGGAGGCAGCAGUGAGGAAUAUUGGUCAAUGGGCGGAAGCCUGAACCAGCCAUGCCGCGUGCGGGAAGGAGGCCCUAUGGGCUGUGAACCGCUUUUGCCUGGGGGCAAUAAGGGCGUCGCGCACGUCCGAUGAGAGUACCAGGCGAAUAAGCAUCGGCUAACUCCGUG